UCAUUUGGGGCCUGAUCCAAAGCCCAUUGAAAUUUAUUGGCAUCUUUCCAUUGACUUCCAUGGGCUUUGGAUCAGGCCCUUGUGGC
rnacentral:pre_miRNA from 1 species